rnacentral:rRNA from 1 species
ACAAAGGGUAUUGCCUAGUACGGCGAGUGAAGCGGCAACAGCUCAAAUUUGAAAUCUGGCUCUCGGGCCCGAGUUGUAAUUUGUAGAGGAUACUUUUGAUGCGGUGCCUUCCGAGUUCCCUGGAACGGGACGCCAUAGAGGGUGAGAGCCCCGUCUGGUUGGAUGCCAAAUCUCUGUAAAGUUCCUUCGACGAGUCGAGUAGUUUGGGAAUGCUGCUCUAAAUGGGAGGUAUAUGUCUUCUAAAGCUAAAUACCGGCCAGAGACCGAUAGCGCACAAGUAGAGUGAUCGAAAGAUGAAAAGCACUUUGAAAAGAGAGUUAAAAAGUACGUGAAAUUGUUGAAAGGGAAGCGUUUAUGACCAGACUUGGGCUUGGUUAAUCAUCUGGGGUUCUCCCCAGUGCACUUUUCCAGUCCAGGCCAGCAUCAGUUUUCCCCGGGGGAUAAAGACUUCGGGAAUGUGGCUCUCUUCGGGGAGUGUUAUAGCCCGUUGUGUAAUACCCUGGGGGGGACUGAGGUUCGCGCAUCUGCAAGGAUGCUGGCGUAAUGGUCAUCAACGACCCGUCUUGAAACACGGACCA